UCUUGACAAUUCAAUUCAUUGUAUUUACAGAGUUCCCACACAGGUCAUCUCAAGGCAAUUUACAAGACAAAUUUAUGCUCUUGAGUUAUAAUCUGAUCAAUCCAAAAACAGAUUCAGUUACAUACAUUACUAUUUAAUCCUAGUAAUAAUGACAUGCAUUCAAAUUCUGUUUCAAAACCCAAAAAGGGUUGGUCUUCUAAAAACAUUUGAAGACCAAAUCUUAGCAUUGAGUUAGGAACGACUUCUUUAUCAUUUUAAAACUUUCAGCAGAGCCAGAACCCUGCUCAGUGUGAAGAGCCACCAGCCAGGAUUGACUGGGAGUUUGAGAAAUUAGAACAGACACACAAAAGCACAGCAGCACUGACCCUGGAGUACUUUCUAUGUUAAAAGUUAAUGGCAGUAGUAGUUGCUUCAUCUAGGAGAGAGAGACAGUUAAGAAAUUAAGAUCUGAGUAAUAUUAUUUAGAUUCUGAUUCCAGUUGCUAUAUAUCAUUAUUAUUCAGUCCAUUGAAAAUACUGUUUGUACUAAAGGAAAAAAAAUAUGGAACUAUCUAAUGUAAUAAUCAAAUGGUUAUAAUGUUAUAUAAAAGCCACACUGGUAUUGCAAUGUUCCUUUGUAUACACAGCAGAUGUCUGUACAUUUAUAUGUUCCAUAACAAGAAAUGACAAAAUGGAUUUAUUUCAGCAAUUCGAGUCAAAAUUGCUGGAAGUGCAAUUUUGUUAUAUAACAAAUUUGUUAUAUAACGGGUAUGACUUGUUAUAUAUUAUAUACAAGUUAUAAUACAUAACUUGUAUAUUAUAUUAAUUCGUUACACACAGUCUGAUAUAUUUCAAAUGUUUAUUUAUUUUAAUGUUGAUAACUAAUGAAAACCCCAAGUUCAGUAUCUCAGAAAAUUAGAAUACUACUUAGGACCAAUACAAAAAAAAAGGAUUUUUAGAAAUGUUGGCUAACUGAAAAGUAUGAGCACAUACAGCACUCAGUACUUAGUUGGGGCUCCAUUUGCCCAGAUUACUUCACUCUAAAAUGCAAAUUUUUUCUUGCUUAAUUUAGGUUUGUAUGUUUUACUUACGUCUCAGUUUAGUGAGAACGUUACCAGACUAAAUAAUUUUUACCAAACUGGAUUUGAAUACUUGUGGCACUGGAGUUAAUCAUGUGGAAGCAGAACAUUUGUGGACUUGCACAUUGGAAGAAGCAGAUCUUCUCUAACGCCAUAAGGGGAUGGAGGUCCGAAGUGGAUUUCUCCAGUUCUUCAGUCAACCAUUUAGGAUCCAAAGAAGCAUUAAAUGCCGGUUGACUUGUUUAUGCCGGGCUUCAGAUUCCAUGGCAGACUUUAUCCAGGUUCCUGUGGUGUUAUUGACUGCUAUGUUAUGCUAAGUAUAUUAUUUUGUUUAAAUAAAACAUCAAAUCUUGUGAACUUAAAAUCUUUUUGUGGUUACUUAAUUUAUUUAAGGCAAUCGGUUUUCUAGAUUCUGCUACGUAAACUGCACUGUUCAUGAAAGUUGGACAAACUUGAUGU